rnacentral:piRNA from 1 species
UAACUGGAGUAACUGUCUGAGG